rnacentral:rRNA from 1 species
GCAGCGGAGCGUGUGGUUAAUUUCGAUGUAUACACGAAGAACCUUACCCAGGCUUGACAUGUUGGUAGUAGGGAUCCGAAAGGUGACGACCUUCGGGAGCCUUCACAGGUGCUGCAUGGCUGUCGUCAGCUCGUGUCGUGAGAUGUCCGGUUAAGUCCGGUAACGAGCGCAACCCUCGCUGUGUGUUAUAUGUGUCACACGGGACUGCCGGUAUCAAGCCGGAGGAAGGUGGGGAUGACGUCAAGUCAGCAUGGCCUUUAUGUCUGGGGCUACACACACGCUACAAUGGCCAGUACAAUAGGUUGCAAGACCGCGAGGUGGAGCCAAUCCUUAAAGCUGGUCUCAGUUCGGAUUGCAGGCUGCAACUCGCCUGCAUGAAGUCGGAGUUGCUAGUAACCGCGCGUCAGCUAUAGUGCGGUGAAUACGUUCCCGGGCCUU